AUUGAACGCUGGCGGCAGGCCUAACAAAUGCAAGUCGAACGAGUGGCGGACGGGUGAGUAAUGUCUGGGAAACUGCCUGAUGGAGGGGGAUAACUACUGGAAACGGUAGCUAAUACCGCAUACCAUCAGAUGUGCCCAGAUGGGAUUAGCUAGUUGGUGGGGUAACGGAUCACCAAGGCGACGAGCCCUAGCUGGUCUGAGAGGAUGACCAGCCACACUGGAACGGAUAUACGGUCCAGACUCCUACGGGAGGCAGCAGUGGGGAAGAUUGCACAAUGGGCGCAAGCCUGAUGCAGCCAUGCCGCGUGUAUGAAGAAGGCCUUCGGGUUGUAAAGUACUUUCAGCGGGGAGGCGUUACCCGCAGAAGAGGCACCGGCUAACUCCGUGCCAGCCGCCGCGGUAAUAC
rnacentral:rRNA from 1 species